GAUCCAUUAGCUCAGCUGGUUAGUGUGCCGUGCUAAUAACGCGGAGGUCGUGGGUUCGUCCCCCCAUGAGUUA
rnacentral:tRNA from 1 species